CCUACGGGUGGCAGCAGUAGGGAAUCUUUCACAAUGGGCGAAAGCCUGAUGGAGCAACGCCGCGUGCAGGCUGAAGGCCUUCGGGUUGUAAACUGCUUUUAUAAGCGAGAAAUAUGAUGGUAACUUAUGAAUAAGGAUCGGCUAACUACGUGCCAGCAGCCGCGGUCAUACGUAGGAUCCGAGCAUUAUCCGGAGUGACUGGGUGUAAAGAGUUGCGUAGGUGGCAUAAUAAGUAGCUAGUGAAAUCUGGUGGCUCAACCAUUCAGACUAUUAGCGAAAAUGUUAAGCUCGAGACCGUUAGGGGUAACUGGAAUUUCUAGUGUAGGAGUGAAAUCCGUAGAUAUUAGAAGGAACACCAAUAGCGUAGGCAGGUUGCUGGGACGGUUCUGACACUAAGGCACGAAAGCGUAGGGAGCAAACGGGAUUAGAUACCCUUGUAGUC
rnacentral:rRNA from 1 species